rnacentral:rRNA from 1 species
UACGUAGGGUGCAAGCGUUAAUCGGAAUUACUGGGCGUAAAGCGUGCGCAGGCGGCUUUGCAAGACAGAUGUGAAAUCCCCGGGCUUAACCUGGGAACUGCAUUUGUGACUGCAUGGCUGGAGUGCGGCAGAGGGGGAUGGAAUUCCGCGUGUAGCAGUGAAAUGCGUAGAUAUGCGGAGGAACACCGAUGGCGAAGGCAAUCCCCUGGGCCUGCACUGACGCUCAUGCACGAAAGCGUGGGCAGCAAACAGG